ACGUAGGUGGCAAGCGUUGUCCGGAAUUACUGGGUGUAAAGGGAGCGUAGGCGGGAGUGCAAGUCAAGUGUCAAAUCUAUCGGCUCAACCGGUAGUCGCGCUUGAAACUGCAUUUCUUGAGUGAAGUAGAGGCAGACGGAAUUCCUAGUGUAGCGGUGAAAUGCGUAGAUAUUAGGAGGAACACCAGUGGCGAAGGCGGUCUGCUGGGCUUUAACUGACGCUGAGGCUCGAAAGCAUGGGUAGCAAACAG
rnacentral:rRNA from 1 species